rnacentral:rRNA from 1 species
GUGUCAGCAGCCGCGGUAAGACGAAGGAUGCAAGCGUUAUCCGGAUUCAUUGGGUUUAAAGGGUGCGUAGGCGGCCUGGUAAGUCAGUGGUGAAAUCUCCUCGCUUAACGAGGAAACUGCCAUUGAUACUGCUAGGCUUGAGUACAGAUGCUGUGGGCGGAAUAUGACAUGUAGUGGUGAAAUACUUAGAGAUGUCAUAGAACACCGAUUGCGAAGGCAGCUCACAAAACUGUAACUGACGCUGAGGCACGAAAGUGCGGGGAUCAAACAGGAUUAGAUACCCUGGUAGUCCGCACUGUAAACGAUGAUUACUCGCUGUUGGGCAGCAAUGUCCAGUGGCUUAGCGAAAGCGAUAAGUAAUCCACCUGGGGAGUACGCCGGCAACGGUGAA